rnacentral:lncRNA from 1 species
CGACCCUCACAGACUCUUCACCAGAUGUCCUGACCACCCCAUCUUCCACAGCCAGUUCCGAUGUCUGCCUUCAAAGCCUGGAGACACGAUUAUGUGGAAACGAGGCAGGAGCUGGUGUCCAGUCAUCGCCCUGGUGGAGGAGGGUGUGGAGCUGUGGCGCCAGGGCGGGUGUGGGAGCCCACCGUGCCGCACGUGAGGCUCUGGCUUCGGAUCCAGCAGGAGGCGCCUG